GAUGAACGCCGGCGGUGUGCCUAAUACAUGCAAGUCGUACGCACUGGCCCAACUGAUUGAUGGUGCUUGCACCUGAUUGACGAUGGAUCACCAGUGAGUGGCGGACGGGUGAGUAACGCGUGAGCAACCUGCCUUGGAGUGGGGAAUAACAGCUGGAAACAGUUGCUAAUACCGCAUAAUGCAGCGAGGGGACAUCCUCUUGCUGCCAAAGAUUUAUCGCUCUGAGAUGGACUCGCGUCUGAUUAGCUAGUUGGCGGGGUAAAGGCCUACCAAGUCGACGAUCAGUAGCCGGACUGAGAGGUUGAACGGCACAUUGGGACUGAGAUACGGCCCAG
rnacentral:rRNA from 1 species